AUACGUAGGUGACAAGCGUUAUCCGGAUUUACUGGGUGUAAAGGGCGUGUAGGCGGAGAUGCAAGUCAGGAGUGAAAUCUAGGGGCUCAACCCCUAAACUGCUUUUGAAACUGUAUCCCUUGAGUAUCGGAGAGGCAGGCGGAAUUCCUAGUGUAGCGGUGAAAUGCGUAGAAAUUAGGAGGAACACCAGUGGCGAAGGCGGCCGGCGGGAGAAAAACUGCCGCUAAGAGUCAAAAGCGGGGGAGCAAACAGGAUUAGAUACCCUGGUAGUCCACGCUGUAAACGAUGAAUACUAGGUGUGGGGGGACUGACCCCCUCCGUGCCGCAGUUAACACAAUAAGUAUUCCACCUGGGGAGUACGAUCGCAAGAUUGAAACUCAAAGGAAUUGACGGG
rnacentral:rRNA from 1 species